rnacentral:lncRNA from 1 species
ACAUAAACCAAACAGGACAAGCCUACAACAUGACUUCCAAAGGGUGGCAUGUAUGUUAGAAGCGCCCUGCAUUCCGCUAAGGUACAGCUUGUUAGCUAUUUGGACGGAACAGUCUUUUUUGCGUUUUUUUCCGAGUACCUCUUACACUGCUUGUCCUGCGCAUCCUUUACAUGUACUACGGCUAAGGGAUCCCUUCCGGAUGAUGAAGAAUGUGCUUUAUGCUGGACCAAUUACACAUCACGAUCAGCAUCGAUUAAGCGGCUCCAGGAGCUGGUACCAGCUGGUACCGGCCGGUGCUUAGGGCCCGAUCCGCCGCCGGGAGGACGACUUCCUGAGGCAAACACGACGGACAUCCCGAACGGUGCUUACAUCCGUGUUAUGGAAAUUGCUCUUACGUGUGUGGACCGGACGGAUGGACAUGAGGCAACGUUUUGCAUCACUUGUUUCUUGGCCGCAAGCAGCAACGUAGUGAAGGACAUGGACGCGCAUGCACAGGCCAUGGAAUGGUAUGUCUAAAUCAUGGAUGGCGACGUUCAACUCUCAGAAUGGUGAUUUCUGCCUUUGGGUUCAAUUCUGAACCUGGAAUGCUGCUGGCUCUGCCCGUACCGGAAAAGUGCUUUCCGGUACGGCGGUGUCAGGAGGUGGUAUGUACGUCGUCUUAGGGGCAACCCUAAGACCAAGGGGAUGAACGAAUAGAGAUAUACUUUCUGUUUCUUGGCUGCAGCAAGUGUUGUCCUGGGCGCAACGUUGAUGGCCUGAUGCCGACGCGACCUCCUUUACGACAAUGCUAGGCAAACGCAGCGGAUGUUCAUGAAUUACUUAAGCGUUCAUAUUACUCGUCACAGCUUCAACGGCACUGUACUGGGCGGAUGUAAGACGUGCGUUGGUGGACGCGAUGGCCUUACGAAGGGGGAGAAAGACGCUUAGGAGAUGCUUGGAUUGUUAUGUACAAGUCACGGACGGGGACGUUUAACUCUAUGAAUGCUGAGUUUUAGCUACUAGUCGGGUUUUUUGAACUUCGCUGUUGUUGGUUCCGCCCGUACAGGAAAAGUGUCUUCUGAUACGGCGGUCACAGCAGGUAGUAUCCACGUCGACUUGUAUGCAAACCNAAAUACAACGAAACCAGGGGAUGAUAUGACAGUUUUGGAAUGCUUGUUUCUUGGCCGCAAGCAGCAGCAUACUUAAAUCGCGUUGGGCCAUUUGCCCAGGCUGCCGCGAGGACGACAAGCCAGGCUAAUGCAGCUGGUGUCCAUGAUUGGAUCAUUACGUGCUGAAUAUGAAAGAUUGCUACGAAGACUCUGACCCUGACGAACGUAAAAUGUGAUGUUCGUAAGGAAGAAAACAGACGCAUAUCCAAGGCAUGGAGCUGUUUGUAGGGAAACCGUAAAUGAAGGUUUAAGGAACUGAACGAUGAAUUCUGCCGGUGUGGUCGGUUCUGGAUCUCUUAUGUUGCUCGUCACGCUCCUAAGGAAAAUGUACAUUUGUUGCAGGAGGGAGUCUGUGUGUCAAGUCGUAGUCAAACCUUUUUCAAAGGGGAUGAGCACACACACAGCUUGCAUUCCAUGUUCACUAACGUCAGCCCACAGUAAGCUACUGGGCUAGACUUGGAGGGUCCGACCGGGGCAACUCGUUGCUGUGGACUUGUAGGCAAGUCAAGUAGGGCUAUGGAAUGCUAGGACAAUGUUAUUAUGUUUGUGUUAUAGGCUUGGGUAGGAAUUCUUAAGCAAUACGUUGAGUGGCUUUUCCGCCGGCGGGAGGACGACAAUCCCAUGCAAACAGGACGGAUGUUCCGAAUGUUGCUUACAUUCAUGUUGUCGAAGCUCGCGACGACGGCUCUGGACAGGACGGAUGUCAAGUGUGCGUUGGUGGACGUGAUGGCAACGUAGUGAAGGACACGGACGCGCAUGCACAGGCCAUGGAAUGGUAUGUCUAAAUCAUGGAUGGCGACGUUCAACUCUCAGAAUGGUGAUUUCUGCCUUUGGGUUCAAUUCUGAACCUGGAAUGCUGCUGGCUCUGCCCGUACCGGAAAAGUGCUUUCCGGUACGGCGGUGUCAGGAGGUGGUAUCUACGUCGUCUUAGGGGCAACCCUAAGACCAAGGGGAUGAACGAAUAGAGAUAUANNNNNNNNNNNNNNNNNNNNNNNNNNNNNNNNNNNNNNNNNNNNNNNNNNGUACCGUUACCACGUCCGAACCGACCACUUUUUCCAAAAAGUUUCAACGUAACGUAGCAUGUGAACUGGCUAUUACAGCGCUAGCCGUCAGCGAUUUCUGGCUUACCAGGGUCUCAAGAUCUAGGACCUCUUUUCCGAAAGCACUGAAAGGAGUUUUGCAACGUUAUGUAAUCUUUUCGGGGACUUUCCAUGGACCUGCCGGCGAAGUAAGGGAAUGAUAUGCGCACGCCGCCGAAUAACUAAUUAUCAGUAAACAGUUAACCUGCAGGUAUCGCGUUGAACUUCUUAAUGCAAUGCCAACAUAAACCAAACAGGACAAGCCUACAACAUGACUUCCAAAGGGUGGCAUGUAUGUUAGAAGCGCCCUGCAUUCCGCUAAGGUACAGCUUGUUAGCUAUUUGGACGGAACAGUCUUUUUUGCGUUUUUUUCCGAGUACCUCUUACACUGCUUGUCCUGCGCAUCCUUUACAUGUACUACGGCUAAGGGAUCCCUUCCGGAUGAUGAAGAAUGUGCUUUAUGCUGGACCAAUUACACAUCACGAUCAGCAUCGAUUAAGCGGCUCCAGGAGCUGGUACCAGCUGGUACCGGCCGGUGCUUAGGGCCCGAUCCGCCGCCGGGAGGACGACUUCCUGAGGCAAACACGACGGACAUCCCGAACGGUGCUUACAUCCGUGUUAUGGAAAAUUGCUCUUACGUGUGUAGACCGGACGGAUGGACAAGAGGCAACGUUUUGCAUCACUUGUUUCUUGGCCGCAAGCAGCAACGUAGUGAAGGACAUGGACGCGCAUGCACAGGCCAUGGAAUGGUAUGUCUAAAUCAUGGAUGGCGACGUUCAACUCUCAGAAUGGUGAUUUCUGCCUUUGGGUUCAAUUCUGAACCUGGAAUGCUGCUGGCUCUGCCCGUACCGGAAAAGUGCUUUCCGGUACGGCGGUGUCAGGAGGUGGUAUCUACGUCGUCUUAGGGGCAACCCUAAGACUAAGCCCAAUGGCAUACUCCAGGCCGGUUCCGGCCCGGUUCCGACCUAACGGGUCCAGUUAACGAGAUGGGUAACCGGUCGGUAGGAUUACCGAGCGAACCGUUAUCCGUUAACCGUCCCCAGUAAUCGGUAACCGAUGUCGGUAACCUGGCAUGAGGAAAAAUGCAUUUCUGAUUGCAACCAGUUUCUUUGUGACAAUGCCCAUUGUCACAAGGUUCAUGCCCACGUGUCACACCCCGACAAGCUUAGGAGGUUAAGGCAAUGUGAAUGCCGGGUGACAGGGGUGACAGUCUUGUGCAGGCACAUUUGGAGACUAGUUUACACUGAGAUUGGGGUGAUGUUGGAUUAGAAUACUUGCAGUUCAUGAAAUUGAGGAAAUGUGUUGCAUAGGCAUAUCCAAACGUUUCAGAGGGACGUUGUUUCGCCCGUAACAGACUUGUUACGGGGCGAAACAAACUGGAUUUCCACAGUCCCACCACUCAAAGAGCUCCCCACACCAUCGCAAAGUCCCUUUUUUAUUACAGACACAUGUAACGAGUUGUCAUAGCUUGAGAUUGUCGAUAUAUGACUGCUGGAUUGUGACCAGGCCAUCUCCUUACAUGUCUUGCUGCACCAGCAUGAGCAGUGAUCCCUUCUGUUCAAAAUUUUCAGGCAACAUCGCAAUGAGGCAAAACAUUGUGCCGAAUCUGCCGUACAAAGAGUGUUCAAAGCUUCACGCUACUAACGGACGAAUACAUAAGCAUUCAUUUACCUUGAAAGAAUAAAGGAAUUCUAUAGCUUCAUACAAAUUCGCCUAUCAGCAAUUCUCCCUGGUCGUUCAAAAGUUGCUUGACGAUUCUACCAUCUCCAUACUAUGAAGGAGCGCUUCUUCAUUUCUUCAUUUUAUCGGAACCUUAACGUAUCCUUCCAACACAAUGUCCAUGGACAACGGUAAUGAGGUCGGCGCCUACGAGUUUGACCGGAACGCCCUGGACAACAUCGCCCGUCGGCGACAUGAUCGCCCACGCAAGAAAUACAGCCAGCAUCGUCCAGUGGAUGAGUUUGGAGUACAUAAGUUUGCCAGGGCAAACAAUCUAAGUCAAUUUACCGCGUGCCAAUUGGAGGAUGCCUUGUCCAAGGAAAGGUGCCAUAUGGACGACCUUGUGUUAGUUUAGUUGUUGCAUGUAAGCUUGUGAGUUGGUGGCCUGGUUCAUGCUUAUGGGCGACAAUUGAAAUGCCGGGACAAUGACUUAUUAGGGACAUUGACACGGCAUUUCACGCCCUCAAAGCGGGAACAAACGCUAAAACUAAAUACAUACAUAGUUCUAAAUCUUCUACUAAAAUUUUCCUGCAGCGUUAGAGGCCUUUAAAUAAUAUUGGCGAACGCUGCUUCCCGCGCUACNNNNNNNNNNNNNNNNNNNNNNNNNNNNNNNNNNNNNNNNNNNNNNNNNNNNNNNNNNNNNNNNNNNNNNNNNNNNNNNNNNNNNNNNNNNNNNNNNNNNNNNNNNNNNNNNNNNNNNNNNNNNNNNNNNNNNNNNNNNNNNNNNNNNNNNNNNNNNNNNNNNNNNNNNNNNNNNNNNNNNNNNNNNNNNNNNNNNNNNNNNNNNNNNNNNNNNNNNNNNNNNNUAUGGGCCCCAAACGGUCGGUACGGCAUGUUUAUGCCAUAGGGAAGGGGAUGAACGAAUAGAGAUAUACUUUCUGUUUCUUGGCUGCAGCAAGUGUUGUCCUGGGCGCAACGUUGAUGGCCUGAUGCCGACGCGACCUCCUUUACGACAAUGCUAGGCAAACGCAGCGGAUGUUCAUGAAUUACUUAAGUGUUCAUAUUACACGUCACAGCUUCAACGGCACUGUACUGGGCGGAUGUAAGACGUGCGUUGGUGGACGCGAUGGCCUUACGAAGGGGGAGAAAGACGCUUAGGAGAUGCUUGGAUUGUUAUGUACAAGUCACAGACGGGGACGUUUAACUCUAUGAAUGCUGAGUUUUAGCUACUAGUCGGGUUUUUUGAACUUCGCUGUUGUUGGUUCCGCCCGUACAGGAAAAGUGUCUUCUGAUACGGCGGUCACAGCAGGUAGUAUCCACGUCGACUUGUAUGCAAACCAAAUACAACGAAACCAGGGGAUGAUAUGACAGUUUUGGAAUGCUUGUUUCUUGGCCGCAAGCAGCAGCAUACUUAAAUCGCGUUGGGCCAUUUGCCCAGGCUGCCGCAAGGACGACAAGUCAGGCUAAUGCAGCUGAUGUCCAUGACGGGUUCAUUACGUGCUGAAUAUGGAAGAUUGCUACAAAGACUCUGGCCCUGACGAACGUAAAAUGUGAUGUUCGUAAGGAAGAAAACAGACGCAUAUCCAAGGCAUGGAGCUGUUUGUAGGGAAACCGUAAAUGAAGGUUUAAGGAACUGAACGAUGAAUUCUGCCGGUGUGGUCGGUUCUGGAUCUCUUAUGUUGCUCGUCACGCUCGUACGGAAAAUGUACAUUUGUUGCAGGAGGGAGUCUGUGUGUCAAGUCGUAGUCAAACCUUUUUCAAAGGGGAUGAGCACACACACAGCUUGCAUUCCAUGUUCACUAACGUCAGCCCACAGUAAGCUACUGGGCUAGACUUGGAGGGUCCGACCGGGGCAACUCGUUGCUGUGGACUUGUUUAGGCAAGUCAAGUAGGGCUAUGGAAUGCUAGGACAAUGUUAUUAUAUUUGUGUUAUAGGCUUGGGUAGGAAUUCUUAAGCAAUACGUUGAGGGGCUUUUCCGCCGGCGGGAGGACGACAAUCCCAUGCAAACAGGACGGAUGUUCCGAAUGUUGCUUACAUUCAUGUUGUCGAAGCUCGCGACGACGGCUCUGGACAGGACGGAUGUCAAGUGUGCGUUGGUGGACGUGAUGGCAACGUAGUGAAGGACAUGGACGCGCAUGCACAGGCCAUGGAAUGGUAUGUCUAAAUCAUGGAUGGCGACGUUCAACUCUCAGAAUGGUGAUUUCUGCCUUUGGGUUCAAUUCUGAACCUGGAAUGCUGCUGGCUCUGCCCGUACCGGAAAAGUGCUUUCCGGUACGGCGGUGUCAGGAGGUGGUAUCUACGUCGUCUUAGGGGCAACCCUAAGACUAAGGGGAUGAACGAAUAGAGAUAUACUUUCUGUUUCUUGGCUGCAGCAAGUGUUGUCCUGGGCGCAACGUUGAUGGCCUGAUGCCGACGCGACCUCCUUUACGACAAUGCUAGGCAAACGCAGCGGAUGUUCAUGAAUUACUUAAGCGUUCAUAUUACACGUCACAGCUUCAACGGCACUGUACUGGGCGGAUGUAAGACGUGCAUUGGUGGACGCGAUGGCCUUACGAAGGGGGAGAAAGACGCUUAGGAGAUGCUUGGAUUGUUAUGUACAAGUCACAGACGGGGACGUUUAACUCUAUGAAUGCUGAGUUUUAGCUACUAGUCGGGUUUUUUGAACUUCGCUGUUGUUGGUUCCGCCCGUACAGGAAAAGUGUCUUCUGAUACGGCGGUCACAGCAGGUAGUAUCCACGUCGACUUGUAUGCAAACCAAAUACAACGAAACCAGGGGAUGAUAUGACAGUUUUGGAAUGCUUGUUUCUUGGCCGCAAGCAGCAGCAUACUUAAAUCGCGUUGGGCCAUUUGCCCAGGCUGCCGCAAGGACGACAAGCCAGGCUAAUGCAGCUGGUGUCCAUGAAGGGUUCAUUGCGUGCUGAAUAUGAAAGAUUGCUACAAAGACUCUGGCCCUGACGGAUGUGCAUUGUAAGGAAGGAAACGGAUGAAGAGUUAGCUCCGCGGCGCAUGGAACGCUAAGUAAGGAUGAUGGACUGUAAGCGUUAAUAUUCGGAGCAGGGAUUUCUGUCUUUUCGCUCGGUUCUGAAAGUCUAACGUCGAUUGCGCAUCCCGUUUGUUCGGGGAACGUACUUAGAUCUGAUACGGCUCACCCGAUUAGCAAUAAUGCUUUCUAUGCUUGCAUAACCAUUUUGCAAACACAGACCAUUAUGCCAAAUCUUUGCUGUAAUGCCUCUGGCCCAGAUGACAUUGCAUGUGCAACAUGUCAAAUAAACUCUGCUGCCCUUCUGCAGUGCA